ACAGGAAAUAGAAAAAAAAAAUAUAUACAUAUAUAUUUAAUAAAGCAAAAACUUAUAAUAAUAAUAGUUAAAAAAAAAAAAAAACAAUCUAACCUAACCCCAUAACCCACGCAGCCCCACACCCACAAUUGCUGAAACCGUAAAAAAAAAACAAUUCUUUUCUCUCUCUGUGCUCGUUGCUUUCUUUCUUCUCCUUCUUUUCUCUUCUCUUCAAUUUUCUUUCUUCUUCAAAGGAAACAAAAUACUACACAAUACCCCCACCAUCAAAUAGACGUUGGUGAAGAGAAAUUAUCUUGCAAGUGGAAAAGAUGUUGGGCAUGGUUUUGGGAGAUAGGGUUUGUGCUAAAGAAUGAGAAGAGUACCCACCGCUUCACGAUUACUCAGUCGGGUUAUUGAGAUCUGCCAGUUAGUGGUUCGUUUGGUUGUCGCGCAGUUGUGGAGAGCAAUCGUGUUGGUUCUUCGUAACGAUUUUCAGGCAGCUUAGUAGCAGACUGUUGUCAGAUUCAGAUCAUUCGACUUAUUUCCUUUAGCAGGUUGUCAUAGUGGUGUCUUUUAUUUAAUCCUGGUUAUCUGCAGCUAUAGGGAGUCCUAGGUGGAUUUAGAUUUGGGAUUGUGAUUUAUUGUUAUAUUUUAAGAGUUGGCACUUGAGUGCUCGAGUUGGUUUUAUAUUUCACUUAAAAUACUGGUUAUGGAAGAACUCAUUGGCAGAUGUUGUUAAUUUGUAACUAUUGGAAUUACAAAAGAGAUUCUAGUGUUUUUAUAUAUGUGUACAAAGAUAUUUUGAAUAAAUUGUUUGGAAAAUGAUUCUAUGAGGAAGAGGCUUGCCAGGCUAGGGUGGUAGUCUGUGCGCCGGUCACGGCUUAGGAUUUUGGGUCGUGACAAAGUUGGUAUCAGAGCUUUGGCUGUAGGUCCUAAUAGCUGUAGACAUGAGGUAGUGAUAGAAUCUUUCUAGUAAAUUGUGAACCGCAGCACAACUUACUUCAAAGAUGCUAUUAACGCCUCAUGAGAGUCGUAAUGUUGUUUUCAAGUGUGAUUUGAGUUCGUUCCUCAUUCACUGAAUUCCGAGUCAUGUGAUAUGUUUGAUGAAUAUUCUUUGUUCAGUGAGGAUGCCACCUAAAUUAGGAUUUUCGUUAUACAAUGAGUUAUCUUACUAGGAUCAUCUUAAAGGAGGUCGUGGUCGGCGUUGUGGUUUAGGCGAAGGACCAUUGCCUGUAGGCGCUGGUUAAUUGCUGUGUAGCCGAUAUUAACGUGCUUAUCUUGGGGUUAUGAAAUUCAGGGAUGUUAGAGCUUAUAGUUGGUACGAACGUGUUGGAGUGGUUGUUGGACAGCAACAAGGGAACCCACAUAAGAAAAUUUAUGGGAGUCAGUUAGAGGUUAGACUGAGGAAAGUAACAACAAGUAGGUGCCACUAGAUAGAUUGAGGUCACGGUGAUUGGUUUUGGGUAGCUAAUUAAUUCUCCUACUUUACACAUGCGAGUAAGGAUCCACAAACGAAUAUUGGUUCUUUAGAGAGAUUGUGGACAUAACUUUGAUGCGCAUACAUUAAUGCGGUAUAGUUAAUAUAGUUCUAUCUUCUGAUUGUGGUAUAUGAUUAGAUUGAUGGCUUUAUGCGUAUGAGAGCACUGAGAUCACCUCUGAUAGCAUAAGAUGGAUUUUCUUAGAAAUUCAAGAAUCGUUUCGUAAUAGAGAGAGCUAGAGAGCUUAGCAAUUGAUUUGAGAUGCUAGGGCAGGCCGAGGACAGUGACUCUAGAGAGUGGUUCUAGUGGAUACUUGUCAGGAUUUGUUCAAAGUCGUAGAGUAGAUUUUAGGGGUCUUUACAAUCCAUUUUUAUUCCUAGAAGCAUUUUGAGCAAGAUCUACACGUUGUCCUACUUGUGUGAAGUUUCAUCCCGUAGCUUGCUUUGGAGAUGAUUAGGUGUGCUGUUAGUGCGAUUGAACAUGUCAUAUUACGAGGAAUUUCCUUGUGGUUGUGGUGCAACCUUUCUCUAGUAAUGGAUAAGUGUUAUUAGGAGUAGCUUUAGCAUCUUACCUGCUCCUACAACACUUGUUAGACGUGUUAUGAGAUUUUUGGCCGAGGACGUGUAGUACCAAAAAUUAUGGUAAAUUAAAUGGUAGUUGAGGUUGAUGAUAUGUUAGGAGAGUGGAGCUCGAGUCUUUGCUUUGACUCAUCAAGAUGCUUAGGCAACCAAUGUAAUGACAGUAAGUAUACUCUUCAUAUGAUCAUGAGAUGAUUACGUUUGCUUAAUGCUAAAGAUCGAUACUCUUUUUAUCAUUGUAGUCAACUUAGUGAAUUAUCUUCUUUCCUGAAUAAGAUGUUGGACGUUGCUGUACCUCUUUGGGAGCAUUUGGUAGUUGAGUUUGUGCACCAUUCUUUUUAAGGUAUCCAUUGGAGAUCGAUUGAGAGUUGUUGAUAAUCGUUAUAGCUUAAGACAUGAUUGAUUUUAAUGUGAUCUUUGGAUAUAGAUUGGUUAAUCUUUUAGUCAACGAUACUUUGGACUGUCAUAAAUAGGGUAGUGAGAUUUAAAGUACAUGGAGAAUCUUUUUUCCCAUUUCCGGAGAGCGAAGUGGACACCUCAUAAUCCAAUUUCAGCAUUGAAAGGUUACUACGAAAGAGUUGUAGGUGAUAAUUGAUCUUGGUAGAAGAUAUUCAAUUAGAAAAAAUUGAAACAAGAAGAGAUUUUUGUGGUGGGUGUUUUGCAGAAUGUAUUCCCUAGAAAAUUUCUUGGUGUACCUUCCAAUAAGGGGAUAGAGUUUUCCAUAUACUUAGUUUCUGAACCAGAUUUAUUGUGAAGAAUAGAGUCAAGACCAUAGUUAUGUGUUGACUACAGGCAGUUGGAGAAUAUGAUGGUAUUAAAAAAAAAGGGAGACUUAGUGAUCUAGGUACCAUAAAUGGAAAAUUAAGAAAGAAAGAAUUUUGAAGACCACUUACAGCACAUGUUGUGACUGUAAUGGGUUGUUGGUCAUGCCUUUGGACCUAGUGACACCACUGCUGAUUUAAGAAUUUAGUGAACCAUAUCUUUGAAUCCUUCUUUGAGCAUUUUAUGAUUGUGUUUAUUAAUGAUAUUCUUAGUUAUACUGAGGAUAAAGAAGAGCUCUAGAAGCUUGUUGAUAGUGGAGUUCCAUUUGGGGCUUGCCCAUUUCAACUUAAUGUUGAGUGUUGACUUACAUGCAAAUUCUUUUUACUCUGGUAGAUGUUAGAAAAAACUCAAGGUUAAGAAUUGAAGAGGAUUUUGAUGGAGAUGAUGUUAGUGGUCCACCCAGAAAACAAUUUUAACACUUAUAGUUUUGGUGGAAAGAAGAAGCUUUUGCUGUAAAAAAAAAAAAAAAAACACCCUGGUUGGAAAAAAAAAAAAAAGAGAGACUUCUGAGUUUGCUAAUUUACUGGUUAGAAGCUUUGGCAAAUUGAUCACAGUCAUCUUCCUAUUGCUUCAUGUGAUAAUCCUAGGCAAUCAUGUAGUCCAUAAUUUCCUAAUUAUUGUAUGGUUACUUGGUGCAACUGUGGCCAUUACAUCAGGUAGUUGCCUGAAGGAUUCUAAGCCCUUUUAUUCAUUAGUUCCAGUAACACUUAAAUAUACUGUAUGAUAGCCUUUCAGUUAAAAAAAAAUUGCAAAGGGUGAAGAUGGAAGAGGAUGUUUAAAGUGAAAAGAUUUUAUAGUUUUCAUUAGACUUUGUUGACAUUUAGUGAUUUGAAUGAUAAAUAGGUGUGCCUAAUGUAGAUUGUUUGAGGAAGAAAUAUUAGAGGAGACUCAUCGUUCUUCAUACACCAUACACAUGAAUUCCAUAAAUGAUUCAAUACUUGAAAGCACAUUUAUUGGUGGGAAGGAAUAAAAUAAAAUAAAAACGUAGUGGAAUUUGUUUCUAAAUGGUAUGUCAAGGAGGUAAGGAUAAGCACUAAAACCCAGUAGAGGUGCUUCAAUCUAUUGAGAUAAGUGAAAGUGGAUAGGUAUUGCUAUGAAUUUCAUGAUAGAUUUUCCUAGGACAUCAAGGGGUUAUGGUUCCUUAGGUGUGAUUAUAGAUUGAUUGUCAAAGUUGGCACACUUCUUGCCUGUGAGAGUACCUACACUGGAGCUGUGUAUACUAAGCUAUACUUGGAUAAGUGUGAUUAUUUACUUGCUGUACAUGUGUCUACAAUUAUUGGAAAGCUCAAUUCAUUUCACAAUUUUGGAAGUCUUCCUUGAAUUGCUUUGAUGACUCGCUUGAAUUUAAAUAUUGUUUAUAUCUUGAGCUAAUGCUCAUACAAGCAUGAGAGAGACUAUUAAGAUCUUAGAGGAUAUGCUUUGGGUCUGUGUUCUACAACAAAGAGGGAGUUCAAAGCAGUAGUUGUCUUUGUUUGAAUUUGCUUAUAAUAACAAUUGUCAAUCUAGCAUUUGGAUGACACUAUUUGAGGUUUGGUAUGGUAAGUGAUGCAGGUUACCAAAUAGGUUGGUUUGAAAUUGAAUAAGCUAAACUUUUAGGCAAAAAUAUAUACAUAUAUAUUUAAUAAAGCAAAAACUUAUAAUAAUAAUAGUUAAAAAAAAAAAAAAACAAUCUAACCUAACCCCAUAACCCACGCAGCCCCACACCCACAAUUGCUGAAACCGUAAAAAAAAAAACAAUUCUUUUCUCUCUCUGUGCUCGUUGCUUUCUUUCUUCUCCUGUGCGCAGCUUUGGUUCUUUUCUCUUCUCUUCAAUUUUCUUUCUUCUUCAAAGGAAACAAAAUACUACACAAUACCCCCACCAUCAAAUAGACGUUGGUGAAGAGAAAUUAUCUUGCAAGUGGAAAAGAUGUUGGGCAUGGUUUUGGGAGAUAGGGUUUGUGCUAAAGAAUGAGAAGAGUACCCAUCGCUUCACGAUUACUCAGUCGGGUUAUUGAGAUCUGCCGGUUAGUGGUUCGUUUGGUUGUCGCGCAGUUGUGGAGAGCAAUCGUGUUGGUUCUUCGUAACGGCGAUGGAGAUCCUUCCGCCGAGGCUUAGCUGCUCGAGUUGGAGAUCGAGUCGUAAGCGGUGGAGUAGAGGUGUGAGAAGCAGCUUUGCUUCUCUUCUUGUGGAUUAUGUUUGAGUCUCCCUUUCUUUAAGAGAACUCUGUUAUUAAAGCCUUGCUUCCGCCACUGUUAAAGUGCGCAUGUUUAUUCUGAACCUUAAUAUGGUGUUGUAAGCUAUUAUUACUAUAUAUCGGAAAACAGGUUAUUUAAAUAAAGUUAUCAUGUGUUUCCAA